CCUUGUCUCUCCCUCUCAUUAUAAAUUUCAGUGGCAUCAUGGAUGAACUCAACAAUAUAACUAUCACAUAAGGCAUUAUUUCCAUGAUCCAAAAGCACAAAAGUAUCAUUACUCUUCUUAUAAGCAAAAUCUUCCUUAUUAGGAAUAGUGAGAGUAAAGCAAUCAUUAUCAUCAUGGUGAUCAUCAUAUCUAGGAAGCAUAGUAUCAUCAAAGCAAAUUUUCUCCUCAAAAGUUGGGGGACUAUAAAUAUCAUGUUCAUCAAACCCGUCAUCCCCAAGCUUAGAGCUUUCCAUGUCAUUAGCAAUAUUGGUAUUCAAAGAAAGCAUACUAAUAACAUUGCCACCAUCAUAAUUGUUAUGCAAAUAAUAAAGU
rnacentral:lncRNA from 1 species